rnacentral:lncRNA from 1 species
AUUGCUGAGGGAACCAUGAAUUUUACUUCUAUUGAGCCUUCUCGACCUCCUGUCACACAACCUUGUCAAGGUGCUGCUACACAGCCUUCUCAAGCUGCUUUCACACUUACACAACCUUCUCAAAUCGCUUUCACACAACCUUCUCUAGCUGCUUUCGCACGACCUUCUCGAACCGCUUUUAGACAUCCUUCUCUAGCCGCUUUCCCACAGCCUUCUCAAGCCGCUUUUGCACAGCCUUCUCAAACCAUUUUCACACAGCCUUCUGAAGCCACUUUCACACAGCCUUCUGAAGCCACUUUCACACAGCCUUCUGAAGCCACUUUCACACAGCCUUCUCAAGCCGCUUUCACACAACCUUCUCAAGCUAAUAUCUCACAAGCCAUUUGUGAUGAAGAUGAUGAGCUCAGAGUAUUGGAUCCACCAGCCCCUGCAUCAGUGAGCAAAAGGGCAAAAAAUGUUGGUACUGGUAAUUCAAGAACAAGAAUUAACAAGCGUACACAAGAUGGGAAUGUGGUUGAGAUGAUGGGAAGGUUUCUAGAAAUGAAAGAAAAACAAGCUGAGGCGGAUGAAAGGGCCACAACUAAUGCAAAUGAGGAUGAUUUCCCUAUUCAAACAUGCAUUGCUAUUGUGGAUGGAAUGGAAGAGUUUUCUGAUGAUGAGAAGGUUGAUUCUUAUGAUGUUUUUAAGGAUGCCCAAAACCGGGCCAUUUUCAUGACUGCCAAAGAUGCUACGCGCAUAAAAUGGUUGAGGAAGAAGAUUGCAAGAACAUGAUAUGGUAUUGAU